rnacentral:tRNA from 1 species
GCACUGGUAGUUUAGUGGUUAUAAUUUUGCCUUGCCAAGGCAGAGACCCGGGUUCAAAUCCCGGCCAGUGCA